UUGAAGAGGAGAGAAAAACAGUGGGCAGGGGUUGGAGAAAAGGGGGGUCAUGAGGGAGGAAAGAGCUUCUUCAGGAGAUGGAGGCUGCCGCUGUGUGAAUUAGAUGAAGAAACAAGAUCUGUUAACUCAGGAAGGAAGAGAGAGAGGAAGGGAAAAAAGGGGAGGGGAAGAAAGACAGAGGGGAAGAGCGAACAGAGGAGAGAGAGAGAAAGAAAAAGAAGGGAGGGGAAGAGAGAAAGACGGAAUGGCGAGGGAUGGGCCCGGGCCUGUCAGCAGCCUGAGGGAAAUGAGAGGUUGUGGCAGAGCGGCAGCAAGGAAGGGCCCGGUCAACCACUGCUGCUGCUCCUGUAGGGAGGAGCAGGAGCAGGGUUCGGGUAAAGGUGGGGAGGUCUCUGAGGUUAGGGGGCUGCAGCUUGACCAAUUGGCACUAGCAAUGCCACAGCCGUGACCAUUGAGGGGGUGAGGGGGAUGGAAGCAAUGGGAUGGAGAAAAGACAAGGACUGCAGUCAUAAUUUUAAGCACUGUCCUUGGUAAUACGAUAGAAUUUGUGAGCCUGCCCUAUUUGUAUUGAUGGUCUGGUAUUUAGCACCAUUUGAGUCUUUCCUGACUGACACAGGAAGGUAAUCAUAUAGAAAGCAGGUUGGCUACAUGACUAGGAGAUACCCAUACACAGGGCUGAACACGAGCUCAGACAAACUCAAAGUGUAGUUUAGAAUAAAGAAAGCUCAGGCCUUUGGGCUAGGGAUGUGCAAAAAAUUUCGGGCACAGAACGAUCUGUGCCCGAAACGAGCAAUUUCGGGUGAUUCGGGGCCGAACCGAAUCACCCCCGAUGUCCCCCGAUAUUUUUCGGGCCCGAGCCGAAUCAUCCGAAUUUCGGGCAUGAAAAAUUCGGGUGAUUCGGUCCAUGGUUGAUUUUGGGGGAUUUUUUGAAGUUUUAGUGACUUUGGGGCAGUUUGGGGGCAUAGCAUGGGAUCUGGGCAAAAAGAGUGGGGUGGGGUGGUAGUGCCUAAUGGGUGCAGGCUACCACCCCAAUUUCAGGGGGAUUGGGCAAAGGGCUGAUUUUUGGUGAAUUUCUGAAGUUUUCAUGUCUUUGGGGCAGAUUGGGGCAGAAAGUGGGGACUGGGGCAGAAUAGUGGGGUGGGGUGGUAGUGCCUAAUGGGUGGAGGCUACCACCCCAAUUUCAGGGGGAUUGGACAAAGGGCUGAUUUUUUUGAGAAUUUUUGAAGUUUUAGUGACUUUGGGGCAGUUUGGGGGCAGGAAGUGGAUCUGCCCCAAAAGAGUGGGGUGGGGUGGUAGUGCCUAAUGGGUGCAGGCUACCACCCCAAUUUCAGGGGGAUUGGGCAGAGGGCUGAUUUUUUGGGAAUAUUUGAAGUUUGGGUGUCUUUGGGGCAGAUUGGGGGCAGAAAGUGGAUCUGCCCCAAAGGAGUGGGGUGGGCUGGUAGAUAGUGCCUAAUGGGUGGAGGCUACCACCCGUCCCCAAUUUCAGAGUGAUUGGGCAGAGGGGUGAAUUUUGGUGAAUUCUGAGGUUUGUCUUCAUAAGCAUCCAAGCAAAGACUGAAUUUCCUCAUCAAACCUUAAUGGUGCAGAAAUAUCCCUGACGACAGCAGUCUGAGCAGCGCACUCUAAUUUAUUGUAUUUAGGGCUAUAAAACCAUGUUUUACUGCCGAAGAUAAUUGUAUCUGACACUUCCAUCACAUUAACACUCUUUAGGAAAAGGGUCCAGAAGGCACAGCAUAAGGCCAUUGUUUUGAAGGAUGAGAACAUUCCCCUCUUAUGAUAUUGAGUAUAACAAAACACUGAACAGAAUUUUUGAAGCUUCCCAUGCAAUACGUUUCAUGAGAGAGAUUAACUGUUCCACUCGGCCACAGAGGAAGAAGAAGGCUGUCCUUUUCUCAAACAAGAGCGCAAUGAAACCAGCUCUUUUCUCUCAAAGAGCAAGCAGGCACUAUCUUAUACUGACCUCCUCUUGAGAAUCAGGCACCAAAUCUCACUAAUCCACUAAUGACAGAAUCUGAAGUGUCAUCUUCUCUCCAUAACAUUCCAAACAGGGUUUCCUGGACAACGCAGGGGCUACUUUCCUAAAAAGCCCUGGCUGCACACCUUAUAUUCUGUUACUGUUUUAGUGACCAAGCCAUACUUACCAGAUCCUUUAUACAUAAAUAAACCAGAACUUAAUGUAUUUCAGGCAGUGGUAUAUUCAGGAUAAAUAGCAAUUUUAAAUGCUUGUUGCCACAUCUUUGCCUGGUGAUUAGGAAAUGUAACAUGUUACUCGAUAUCAUCUUUUGUUGGAAGUAGCAUCUGCAGAUCCACCUUACUUUUGGUAAAUAGUUGUCUUUUGGAAUGAUAAAUGGCUUUGUCAUCUGGGGUAUCACCCAAGUGGCACAAAAACAUAUCUCAGCAUCUGAGUAACACUCGUCUCAUCCAAUACCAUUAUCUGAAUCUAGUCAUUCUGCAUAGCAUAUUACUGCUGAAAAAGGCACAACAUUUCCACUGAACCAUUUAUAGAGUUAAUAUAAACUUUGAGUUGUUCCUCUAAUAAAAUAGUCUAAGACAAGGACAUUUUCUCUGCAAUUUCAAUCCAAAAAGUCUGUUUUCUUCCCCCCAUCAGUGAAAAAAACCCUGAAUAUAUUAACUGUUGGCAGGGAAAAAGAGGAAGAAAAUUUAUAGACCAAUUUCCCCCCCUUUUGAAAACACGUCUCUAUUUUUUGAAGGGGAAGUUUCAUCUAUAAUUCACACAAGCCACCAAAUAGAAUGGCACCCUUCCUUGAAAUGAUUUCCCCAUGGUUCAGUGCCUUCCCUCUUUCUGGUGAGAUAACUACCCCUUAAAAUGCUGCCUAUUUGCAAAAGCAUAAUAAUAUAAAAACAUGAAAGCCAGAUGUGGUCUAUGGAAAUGUUUGGCGGAUUGGGGGGGGGGCAUGAAGCAUAGGUUUUCAGGCUUACUUUGUGGGUGCAUCCAUAAAACCCCUACAUUUUGUUAUAUUAUCAUGAGGCCAGUGCCACACUAUGCCAGAGCAUACUAUACCAGUGCUAUACGAGAGCUGGUAUAGUACAGAUGUUUCAGAUGGCAUGACUAUUCCUCGGGGGCUGGAAUGUUCUUAACUUUAGACCACUUCUAAAGUUAAGAACAUAGGGAGCGGUCUUAAUACAGAGUCAGUCCAUUGUCUGCACUGAAUGGCUCUCUAAGGUUUCAGGCAGGAGUCUUUCCUAACUCUACCUGGAGAUGCCAGGGUUUGAACCUGGAACCUGCUGCAUGCAAAUAAGAUGCUCUACCACUGAGCUACAGCCCUUCCUAUCAGAGAUAUUCUAUCCUUAAAAUAAAUAAAAAAUAAAAAGCAGGACUUUAUACUAGAUAUGCAUGUCAAAGGCACCAACCCCUUUACUGCAAAAAAGCUUGAGUCUUCUCCUAAAUAAUUCCCAGAAGUAUUGUGAGAUAUAAAACAAUUAAUAUUCUUAACAGUUCCUAUUUUAGUCAACUUUAAAUGCAUCUGAGGACAUUCCUUUGUACCUUGUUGAAUGUCACCCUCCCUACUGAAAUCUCCCACCUUCGCCCAACACUGAAAUCCACCAUGGCAUCCUGGUGUGAGCUGGGCACCAAGCAGUCUCCAGUUCAGAUCUGGAUUCUGCCAUGAGUUCUCUUGGUGGCCUAAGGCAAGCAACUUGCUUUUAACCUCAGCCCCCACAUCUGCAUAAUAUUGUCACAUACUGCUGACCUACCUGGAAGAGCUGUUGUUCAAUUACUGAAACAAUGUACAAGAAGUGCUUCUGUCAAGAAGAGCUAUAUAAAAAUGCUAAGCAUUGU